GAUGAAGGGCGGGUCCUGCAUCCGAGGCAUCCCCGAUCCAUCCAGCAUCUUCUCGCGCAGUCUUCUUCGCCCCGCUGCCACAGUCCCGGCGCCCCAGGCCCUGCGCAGAUGAAGACCCUCCCUCGGACGGCUUUGCGGGCCCUGCCUCAGCCGGCGCCCCCUUCUCUCCUGCAGGACCCGGACCCGCACUGCAGGGGCUGAGUGCCCCCUGGGUCGGCGUCUGAGUCUUGCCUCCCCGUAGGCUCAGUACCUGGCAUGUGUCCAAGGCUCAGCAGCUGUACCACAACCACCCAACAGGAGAGAAGGAAAGGAGAGGUGCACCCCGGGGAUGUGGUGAGGCCAUCCCGUCAUGGGGAAUCAGAAAAGGACUGCGUCUUAGCCAGCCAGCUGGGGGAAGGUGGGGGUACCUCUUGUGUUUCCUUUUCUUGGAAUUAUUCUCUCUGGUGACCGGUAUAUAUCCAUUUGAGGCCCCUUGGCAUGAGAUAGAGCCCAGGUCACCAGGGGAGACUUAAAUAGACACCAGACCUCACCUCGAAGGCGACCUAAGGUGCUCCUGCCCCUUUGCCCUCCCCGUCCAGACCAGGCACUGCCUGUCAGGUGCUGCACGCUCCCAAACCUGUCCUGGAUUUUCCAUCCUCUUCAAGAUUCACCUUCCCAAACCUAUACCAUGUCAUCCGAGACUGCACAAAAGCUGAUCUGAAAAGUCUCCUCUGCCUCAGAUGCAGAUGAAUUGUCGACCCGUGGGGGGUAGUCAGUUUCCUUUCUGCUCACAAGAAGAUGGUGUGGCUCAUGGGAUGGUAACGACAGCCCCCAUUCAUGAAGUGGCUAGCUGUUGUACCAGAUAUGUAGAUAAGUUGCCUGGGCUUCUCGGGACAUGUGACCAGGUGGCAUCUGGGUUGCUCACCCAGGGCUUCUUGAUUGUUGCAGAGGAGGCAGCACCGGGCAGAGGGGCCCUUGAGAGAUGUCACCAUCCUGUUAAGAAAGGGCUGGACCACAGCGCUGCAGAGGUGAGCUCUGUUCAUUGGAGGUCUGGGGCUUGGCAUCCCGCAAGUGCCCACAGGUCCCCUGGUGUGAUGUUCUCUGGGAAGUAGGUAGAGGAGUGACGAGGGUGGCUUCGUCCUGGCCUUCUCUGGGGCCUUCAAGAACACACCUGGUUUCUAUUUAUGCCCUUGAUUCUGAGAGCUCUUCCUCAAAUGUUGGCAGCAGAACGUGUGAGUUGAAGCAGGGAAGGGAGUUUGGCAUAUCCACCUGUACGUGGGUCUCCGUCACUUCUCUGCCGCCUCCUAGCUUUGGGACCUUCUCUUACCUCUGGUUUCACCCUCUGGAAAGCAGGACUCAAAUGAGGCUAUUUGUCUUCAGAUCACAUGGCAUCUGUCUUUUACAACCUGAGACCUCUUUCACUUUUCCUUCGGAGGCCUCUCCUGUCUGGGCCACGGGGAAGGCUUUGUGCAGGACUGGAAGCAGUUGCUGGGUCCUUGGGCUCCACUGGGUUCACUACUCCCAGGCCUUUUCCAUGGGCCUCCUUUUCCAGCAAGCCCCCGUCUUUCCCUGCCCCUGCACUUGGACAUGAUCACCGGCUGCCCAUGGCCCGUUGAUGAGUCCACGGUGUGCAGAGGCCGUCGUGGAAGUUGUCGUGUCAGGAGCGCUGUAGACCGCAGUGUCCUUGAGUGUUCAUUCUGACUCUUCUCUGGGAGCAUUGAGAUUCCUUUUUGAGCCAAGUUUGGUGUGGAAAAAAACACUGCAGCUCAUCUCUGACUAAUUGGGGACGCUUUCAUGGAUGUCACCUUAAAGAAAGAUGAGGUAAUACUGGAAUUCCCUUUGUGACUCAGCGGAAAUGAACCCGACUCGUAUCCAUGAGGAUGCGGGUUUGAUCCCUGGCCUGGCUCAGUGGGUUAAGGAUCUGGCAUUUCCAUGAGCUGUGGUGUAGGUCGCAGAUGCAGCUUGGAUCCUGCGUUGCUGUAGCCUAGGAUGGCAGCUACAGCUCUGAUUCAAUCCCUACCCUGAGAACUUCCAUAUCCUGUGGGUGCGGCCCUAAAAAGAGAAAAGAAAAAAAAA
ensembl:lncRNA